AUUGAACGCUGGCGGCAUGCUUUACACAUGCAAGUCGAACGGUAACAGGCCGCAAGGUGCUGACGAGUGGCGAACGGGUGAGUAAUGCAUCGGAACGUGCCCAGUCGUGGGGGAUAACUGCUCGAAAGAGCAGCUAAUCCCGCAUACGAUCUAUGGAUGAAAGCGGGGGACCGUAAGGCCUCGCGCGAUCGGAGCGGCCGAUGUCAGAUUAGGUAGUUGGUGGGGUAAAGGCUCACCAAGCCAACGAUCUGUAGCUGGUCUGAGAGGACGACCAGCCACACUGGGACUGAGACACGGCCCAGACUCCUACGGGAGGCAGCAGUGGGGAAUUUUGGACAAUGGGGGCAACCCUGAUCCAGCAAUGCCGCGUGCAGGAAGAAGGCCUUCGGGUUGUAAACUGCUUUUGUACGGAACGAAACGGUCUGGGUUAAUACCCUGGGCUAAUGACGGUACCGUAAGAAUAAGCACCGGCUAACUACGUGCCAGCCGCCGCCGUAACAC
rnacentral:rRNA from 1 species